rnacentral:lncRNA from 1 species
CGCUGGCAUCGGCCGCACGGGCACCAUCAUCGUCAUUGAUAUGCUCAUGGAGAGCGUCUCCACCAAGGGGCUAGACUGUGACAUUGACAUCCAGAAGACCAUCCAGAUGGUACGGGCACAGCGCUCUGGCAUGGUGCAGACAGAGGCACAGUACAAGUUUAUUUAUGUGGCCAUCGCCCAGUUCAUCGAAACAACCAAGAAGAAACUGGAGAUCAUACAAUCCCAGAGGGGCCAGGAGUCGGAGUAUGGGAACAUCACCUACCCUCCGGCUUUGAGGAGUGCCCACGCCAAAGCCUCCCGUACCUCCUCCAAACACAAGGAGGAGGUGUACGAAAACGUGCAUAGCAAGAACAAGAAGGAAGAGAAAGUAAAGAAGCAGCGAUCGGCAGACAAGGAGAAGAACAAAGGUUCUCUCAAGAGGAAGUGAGCUGGGUAUUCGUCUGCAGGUGGCCAUGGUGCGGCCCCUUCUGUAUGGCCUUUCUCUCCCUGCCCUCAAUCCCCCAACAUCAGUUCAGACGUGCAUGGGACGGGUCACGAUCUCACCCUACCCUGCCAGGGUGUCCGUAGAUCUUGUAUUUCCUUCCCAGGCCCCAGACAACCUUUGAUCCACCUUGUCUCUUUUAUUUGCAGCAUCAGCCUUACUCCGUGCAGAGGCCUCCGCUGGGCAGACAGAGACCUGUAGUCCACACCACCCCCAUCUUGUUGUAAUUUAAGUGACCGUGGUCCUCUGAACCUGUAUAUGGCUCAGCAAGCCUCAGGGAGAGUCAGACCCUUCUCUUCUUGUAAAUAAAGCCCCUGGACAACUGUG